rnacentral:rRNA from 1 species
UACGUAGGGUGCAAGCGUUGUCCGGAAUUAUUGGGCGUAAAGAGCCCGUAGGCGGUUUGUUACGUCGGAUGUGAAAACCCGAGGCUUAACCUCGGGCCUGCAUUCGAUACGGGCAGACUCGAGUGUGGUAGGGGAGACUGGAACUCCUGGUGUAGCGGUGAAAUGCGCAGAUAUCAGGAAGAACACCGGUGGCGAAGGCGGGUCUCUGGGCCACUACUGACGCUGAGGAGCGAAAGCGUGGGGAGCGAACAGG